rnacentral:lncRNA from 1 species
AGAUACUGAUGGUUCUCAUUAUUGACGUAUUUGCAGUUUCUCAACACGACUGACGUCAUCUGGACUUACAAUACCACUGCAGGGCCAAAUUUAAAAUGCAGAGUCGACAAAAAAUUGUUUAUGAAUGACUCACAGAUUGCUUUCGAAAGAUCUCAUCGCCGCAAGAGCGGGAACUGGACGCAUUGGGAUUUUCGAGGAAAUUUCACUCAUUGGCUCUUCUCCCAAAGAAAUCAGACUUAUAAUGCCAUGCUUGUAAGCCGCUUGGAAGACCCAAUGACAUAUUGGAAAACAGAAGAACUACUAGUGCACCAAGAUCCUGAUAACAAGUGUGGCGUGUUCAAAAUUGUCAAGAGAAAACUAGGUCUUAAUAUGAUUACAGUUGAACUUCGCAUAAGAAAUUCUUCGGUACAUGAAGGCCCCAGUCAAAACUGCACGGAUGUAUAUCUUAGCAGUAAACGGAAGAAGCAGGAAAGCUACGGCUUGUAUACUUCGGACUGCCAGAAAGUAGAGGAAGACCACCAACAUGAAUUUUGUUAAACGGGCAAUAAAUUGAGUUCGUUGUAUGA